rnacentral:rRNA from 1 species
CGUCUCUAGCAAACAUCACAUACAUUAGAGAUACUGCCUGCCCAGUGAUAUUGAUUCAACGGCCGCGGUAUUCUGACCGUGCAAAGGUAGCGUAAUCACUUGUCUUUUAAAUAAGGACUAGUAUGAACGGCAAAACGAGGACUUAACUGUCUCCUUUAUCCUAUCAGUGAAAUUGAUCUUUCCGUACAAAAGCGGAAAUAACACCACAAGACGAGAAGACCCCAUGGAGCUUCAAACACGCAGUCAACUACAUUACACAAUUUACCAAAAAAACAUGAAGACCUGACUCCCUGUUUUCGGUUGGGGCGACCACGGAGCAAUAUUAAUCCUCCGAGAUGAUAACCACCUAAACUAAGGAAUACACCCCAAAGUAUCAGAAAUUCUGACACAAUUGACCCAAACCCUUGAUCAACGAACCAAGUUACCCUGGGGAUAACAGCGCCAUCCUUUCAAAGAGUCCCCAUCAACGAAAGGGUUUACGACCUCGAUGUUGGAUCAGGAUACCCCAGUGGUGCAACAGCCACUAAAGGUUCGUUUGUUCAACGAUUAAUAAUCCU